rfam:Parcubacteria bacterium RAAC4_OD1_1 O210_OD1C00001, whole genome shotgun sequence.
UUUUAAUAGAGUUUGAUCCUAGCUCAGGAUGAACGCUGGCGGCGUGGAUAAGGCAUGCAAGUCGAACGGACUUUUUAUUUCCGGAGAUUGAGAUUAUAUCAAGGUCAAAGGUCGUUUAAAGUUAGUGGCGAACGAGGUAGUAAUACAUAGGAACUUCCCCCUAAGUCGCGAACAACACAUCGAAAGGUGUGCUAAUACGCGAUAGUCUCUCCGGAGUAAAGUUUUUCGCUUAGGGAAAGGCCUGUGAAGUAUCAGCUAGUUGGUAGUGUAAUGGACUACCAAGGCUAUGACGCUUAGGGGAGCUGAGAGGCUGACCCCCACCGAUGGGACUGAGACACGGCCCAUACACCUACGGGUGGCUGCAGUCGAGAAUCUUCCGCAAUGGACGAAAGUCUGACGGAGCGACGCCGCGUGAUUGAUGAAGCAAUUCGUUGUGUAAAGAUCUUUUAUGAGGGAAGAAGUUUAUUGACUGUACCUCAUGAAUAAGGGGCUCCUAAUCUCGUGCCAGCAGGAGCGGUAAUACGAGAGCCCCGAGCGUUAUCCGGAAUUAUUGGGCGUAAAGGGUGCGUAGGUGGUUGUAUUAGUCGUUUGUCAAAUCUCUGGGCUUAACCCAAAGACCGCGAGCGAAACGGUACAACUAGAGAAUGUGAAAGGUAUAGGGAACUCAUGGUGUAGGGGUGAAAUCCGUUGAUAUCAUGGGGAACACCAAAAGCGAAGGCACUAUACUAGCACAUAUCUGACACUCAAGCACGAAAGCAUGGGUAGCGAAUGGGAUUAGAUACCCCAGUAGUCCAUGCCCUAAACGAUGAUCUCUAGUUUUUUGAAGUAUCGACCCUUUAAGAAACGCAGCUAACGCGUUAAGAGAUCCGCCUGGGAAAUACGGCCGCAAGGCUAAAACUCAAAGGAAUAGACGGGGACUUGCACAAGCAGUGGAUUAUGUGGUUUAAUUCGACGAUAAACGAAGAACCUUACCAAGGUUAGAAAUCAACGUGAAAGCUCUAAGAAACUAGAGCCCUCGCAAGACUAGUUGACAGGUGAUGCAUGGCCGUCGUCAGUUCGUGGUUUGAAUUGUUCCCUUAAGUGGGGUAACGAACGCAACCCUCGUCGUGUGUUAUAAGUGUCACACGAGACUGCCCCGACCCAAGCGCGGAACGCGCUUCAGUUGAAAGUUGAAAGUUUAUAAAGUUAUAAAGUGAAUGCAAAUGCAUUGACUUGAUAACUUUUAACUUUUUUACUUUAUAACUUGAAGCGAAUGUUAUUCGCUUCGGUCGGGGAGGAAGGAGAGGAUGACGCCAGGUCAGCAUGUCCCUUGAUACCUUGGGCUACACACAUAAUACAAUCGCAAUUACAACGGGCAGCGACGGGGUAACCCUGAGCGAAUCCUAAGAAAAAUUGCGCCAGUUCGGAUUGGGGGCUGCAACUCGACCCCAUGAAGCCGGAAUUGCUAGUAAUCGCGGGUCAGACAUACCGCGGUGAAUACGUUCUCAAGUCUUGUACUCACCGCCCGUCAAUUCAAGGGAGCCGGGAAUACUCGAAAUCUCUCCAGAAGGAGGGCCUACAGUAAGCUCGGUGACAGGGAAUAAGUCGUAACAAGGCACGGGUAGCGGAAGCUGUUCGUGGAAUAAUUCAAUU